rnacentral:rRNA from 1 species
GGACUACUCGGGUAUCUAAUCCUGUUUGCUCCCCACGCUCUCGCGCCUCAGCGUCAGUGUCAGUCCAGGUAGCCGCCUUCGCCACUGAUGUUCCUUCCGAUCUCUACGCAUUUCACCGCUACACCGGAAAUUCCACUACCCUCUACUGCACUCCAGUCUACCAGUCUAAGAUCACUUUCCUAGGUUAAGCCCAGGGAUUUCACAUCUCACUUGAUAAACCGCCUACGCGCCCUUUACGCCCAGUAACUCCGAUUAACGCUUGCACCCUCUGUAUUACCGCGGCUGCUGGCAC